UGCAAUUAAUGACAAUAAUCUCAACUAUUCACAAUGAUUAUCUAGGUCUUUGAUUAUAUAUUUAUACAUCUGAUGAUAUUCAAGUUUCGAAUCGUAACUGUGUCUGUCAUGUCUCGUGAUGUAGGCUACCAGUAACAAAAUAUGCAAGCAUUGUCGACGAAGACACUCUGGAGUAUAACUUUCCAAACUUCUUGGACAUAGCCGGAUUUGAAGAUAUUGAUGAUGAAAUGACACAAGGGCUUCUAAAUCUCAUAUUCUAUGGGAGAAUUCCUUAUAACAUACCACUCUAUAAGGUUGCAGAAGAUAUCAGAAAAUAUGGACGGUGGUACACUGAUGCUAAAUAUCCAGUAACCCCAGAAAGCAAGAAGAUCGACAGGAUCAUUUUCAUUGCUUCAGCAAGAAAUCCUAAUUUACCAACACAACUCAUGAAGGCUGUAUCAACAGUGCAGUGGAGAAAGAGAGAUAUUCCACUAUUUGGUGUGUUGACAAACAAGGAUCGAAGGACCAAAAAUGAAGAAGAUUUUGAUCAGUUUGAGAGUUCAAGACAACGCUCGGGCUGUCUCAUUUGCAUUAUUUUCGCUGUACGAAUUACUGUGAUGAUAAUAUAGAAGAAAUUCGAUCAGGGACAGCGGCAAACAAUCCAGAGAUAGAUGUUCCUGUUCUGAAAUUCUUGAAACAGAUUUUAGAUCCAGUACUUGAGAACGUUGAUAUUCAUGGAGAGGUUGGAAUGACAUGGCAGAACAUAGUGGAAUGGUUGCACACGCUGUGGACUGCACUACAAAACACAAAUAGACAGCAGUUUACCAUCAUUGUGGUUAUUUCCCUUGUUUUGGUCGUUUUGACCUUGUUGUUGUUUUAAUCUAAGGAUUCUAAGUUCUUUCUAUUUGUAUAAUUACCUACAGUGACACUGGAACACGGGGUUAAUAUGGCCUAUUAUACUUCUACUAUUUGUUCCUUACAUAAAAUAAGGUAGUAAAGUGUGAAUAAUUCUCUUAACAUUACUGUGAAUGGACUAAUCCCCGUGUGUUAGUCAUAUGAACUAAUCUCUGCUUUGGAAGCUAAUUCCUGGUUAUCUGUAAUUCUCUGGAUUUUACUUAUUUAUAGUUGUAACAUGUUUACGGACUAAUCCCGAUGCGUUAGUCAAGACAUAUAUUCCCGUUCUGAAAGUUAAUUCCCCUUCUCUGGAAAUUCUCUAUUUAAUUUUUCUCUACUUUUGUAUACGUAUAAUUAAAAGUUUUAAAACAAUAUCAGGGUUCUCCAUGAGCUGUUUUACUGUGUUGCUCCCGACACAGUAAAAUUUUCUCCGACACAGUAAUGAUCCAAAUUUUAUGCAUGCAACACAGUAAAAAUUUUGCCGACACAGUAAGAUCUGUGAUAAUUAGAAAAUCUAAACACACAAAUUCUCUCUAACUGAGACUUUAAUCAAACAAUUAUAUCGUCUUUCAAUUAUAAAAGUUAGAGCACUUAAACAAUAGGGCUUCACCUUACAUAAUUAAUUAUCUCCUAGACCCUCGCCGGACUUUACGCAUGACGGAACAAAGACAAAUAAUUUGUUUUCACACUUCCAUAGAAGGGUUAAUUGGUAGUUGCAAUAAAAUACAUUGUAUAAUUUAAAAAUAUAUAUAUAUAUGUCUUUUCUUUAGAGUCAUGGCUCUAGAAUAAUUAUAGCACUAUAAGCCAGACAUAACAUCGUAUCGAUUUAAUCAUCCAUUUAAUUGAUGUAAAUAAAUUGCUUAAAAUUUUGUUCAAGGAACUCUUAAAAUAGUUUACUUUUCUGCAGUUUCUUUUUUUAUGUAAUGCGAUAACUCGAUCAAGAAAACUG